rnacentral:rRNA from 1 species
CGUGUAGGCGGUUGGGAUAGUCAGACGUGAAAGCCUUCUGCUCAACAGAAGAAGUACGUCUGAAACUGCCCAACUUGAGUACGAGAGAGGAAAGUGGAAUUCCCAGUGUAGAGGUGAAAUUCGUAGAUAUUGGGAGGAACACCUGUGGCGAAGGCGACUUUCUGGAUCGAUACUGACGCUGAGACGCGAAAGCGUGGGGAGCAAACAGGAUUAGAUACCCUGGUAGUCC